ACGAAACUAGCUGGCACCACUUGACAGUUCAGUUAAUUAUUCAUCAAUUUGUUUAUUAAUUUUUUUUUUUGGAGAUUAGAAAAGUCAGUUGAGUAUUAUCAAAUAAUUUUUUUUUUCAAAUCGAUACGUCCCCCAUGGAAAAACCCAGUUCUGUAAUCGACGGUGUCAUUAGCCAAUCGAGGCAAAUGAUUGAGAGCGAAGAGCAUCACCAGGGGACACGUGGAUGCCCACCAGUUCAGUCGUGUGUUUGAGAUUACUGGGAAACUAUCUACAAUCAUGACCUACCAGCACAAAGACUCAUGCAAAUGUUCAUUGACUUAUGUAAGUGGUGAUUCAGAAGAAAUACGAGAAUAAGGAUGGAAAAUGCUGAAGCUAAAUGCUGGAUCCUCCCGAAAGUCGUCAUUAUGAAUAACGAUAUUGGAUGCUGAUGUGAAUGUAAUGAUGAAAAGCUGGUGGAAGGGACGAGGAGGAAGAGAGGAAUGGAAGUGGCAAUCUGUGGUAGGAGACAUGUAGGACGGGUGACAGAGAGAAAUUGUAAGAGGUUAUGCGACGCGAGGGACGAAGGAGAGGAAGAGCACAGAUAACUCAACAUCAGCAGGCCGCCUAAGCGGAUAUCGCUACACGGAUAUAAAAAACAACAAAAGUGCAUCUCCAACAGCAAGAUGGCCGCUCGCUUCACUGACACUCAAGGCCAUAGCUAACCGGUCCCGGAAGGGUACACUAAGUCUUUUGCGUCGCUGUGGGUCACCGGGUAAUCGAACGACCGGGUAAUAUAACAACGUGUACACAAGCGGAUGAUACGGUUUUAUACGCAAUAGCUGUUACUCCUUGUUUUCAAUGACACCGCUCCACGGAUUUACCUUCCCCACGUUCAAGAAUAAGAAGUGUCGAAUAUCAAGGGAGGGAGAUAUAUGAGGAAAAAUUAGUUGGGGUAGAUGUUUGGUUCCUGCGGCUGUACCAACGAUUGGAUGAAUGCCAUUGAACGCGGAUUCGAGCAGAGGGUCCUAUUUUUAAUUUCACCGGUGCUCACGACAGUCGUAAAUCACUUUCCCCUCUUUGGGAUUCACCAAAAAAAUUGAGGCAUGCGAAUGCAGUUGGUAUGGAGAGUUUCGAGAGAUCAACAACAGCUUAAUGCGCCGCGAUGCAUUUGAGCGUCGCUGUGUCUCAAGGCCGAGGCGUCCGAGAGCGAGAGCUAAGGACGCUCGGUUUGCAACUUCGUGAAUGCCCCCCCCAUCCCUCUCACUCUACUGAAAACACAGUACAACGGGGCAACUGGCCGACUCAACUCGGACCUGCAUUUAUUAUGAACACCAAUGCAAAAAGAGAGAUUUUUUUUUUCCUUCGGGGAGACAUUCACCCAGAACUCAAUUUACGUUUCGUAUAUGUGUCCACUGAAAUUCCGAGUUAUACGCAGUUUGUGGAUAGUUAAAAUUCCGACAAUUUUUUCAUAAGAAUUAUGUUAAUAUUCCCAGUAGUGAAUUAUUUAAAGAUAUUAGGAGAGAGUACACCAGUCUCGGGCGUCGUAUAUACAGUAAUAAAGAUCGAUGUGCAGAUUAUUUUGUAAGAGGAAGGCGAACAUUUUAUUUUCAGUUCGUAGGAGGCGUUCCCUCUGAGGGGCUUAACUUAAGACAAAAAACUAAACGUUUUUUUAUAUUAAAAAAACUAUAAAACUCUGGGAAAAAUUACGCCGGAUUUUGCGAAAAUUUCUGAUAGUUCAUAUGCGAAGCUUCAAAUACUCUCGCCUAGACCAUCUGUUUUAACGUAAUUCGCAGAUCAACUCAUCCUCCACUUCAAACUCCCACAACCUUGAGGUAUAACAUUCGCCACAUUCUCCGUUUCAGAGAUGAAGUUGUAAUCUUUUCAACUUCAGAUGAACUCUACAAGCCAGCGAAAAGCCUCGGUAUUGAUCUAGAGAAGCCGUCGGCGGGUGCUCUUGAACCCCGCGGGUCUUGAUUUCGCCUGGAGUUUACGAUCCACCCAGCGUAAACGGAAUUGUUAGAGUCAACAAUGCGAAUGAAAUUCUGAUUAGGUGAGGAUCUGGGGGAUGAGAUAGUGAUGUCACCUUUAGGUGAAAGAGAAAGAUGUUUUCUUGUACGAAAUAAAAAAGUAACAAUGAAGAAUGAAAUAGCGGCAAGUCAAUCCGCCCAAUGGAUAUCUACGAGUAGACAGACUACAGACUCGUCACUCAUGCGAUCGAUGGAGCUCCCUCUUCACCGUCCGGUUAUGCCGCUGUUUUCAUUGUAUGUAUUUCUUCUGUGUCUAUAUUUAUACACAGUUAGUUGCAAAAAUAUACAAGACACAGCCUCGGAUCUGCUGCGACCUCCCUCAGGGUCAAAAGCCUAGGUCGGGAGUGAACGAGUUAUUAGAUUUUUAUUUCUCCAUUCGAAAAAAAAUUAUGUUCUACAUUCCAAUUUCGACUAAUCCAUUUUGAUUAUAUCAGAUUACAACUGCAAAUGACUUCUUCAAGGAAUAGUGAAAAAUGUAACUGUUUUAAUGGUAUUCCAAACGUACAUGACAACUAUAAAAAUUUCCUCAAUAUCAACAAGAAACUUUCGCGAAUGUACGUGCAAUUCAGUCCCCAAAAUCCACCUUUCUGACCCACAUAAAACAAGAUCAGACACGUGUAAGAUGUCUAUGUAAUCACAAAUGUACAUACAUUUCACGAGCAACGGACUUUCUUCCUGGGGGCCAAUUACGUAUCUACUUUCACCAGAAAAAAAAAUUCACCGUGUCCAUUAGGAUGGCCCAUAAGUGAAGGAAAUCGAAUUUCACCCUGCCUAUUCGUGGUACACAUAGCUAAAAAUAUCAGGAUCAUAUGUGAAUUUUUUCGGAUUUUUAAAAACAUUUUUAGAGGUUGCGCCAACUGGUUUAAUUUCUUAUGGACUUUUACACGUGACGGACAGACCAAAUGCAAUAAUAAUUUUUUUUAAAUACAAUGACUCGACCUUUCGUUAUGAACUCUCGUACACUUUCCGGCAGAAAGGCUAAGAGUAAGAUAAGAUUUUUCUCCCAACAAAAAAACGAUUUGUUAUUAAAAUAAAAAUCGUAAUUUCUGUUCAAUUUAGGGAUUUUCGGUGGUGUCUACGACUCUUCGGGAGUUUUCGAUAUUCUUCUCGAUUCGGUUAGAUGAUCAUUGAACUAUCUGACUAUCAUUUAGCGGAAAGAAAUUUUUUUUUUUGCAAAUGCAAUGUGGUGAAAAACAGGAAAGAAAAUUGUCAAAUUUUCGUGUAGAGACAGGUGUCCGACUCAUCCGGUGCUUUUAUGGCGGUCGUAUACAGUGAAAUGGAACCCAGGCAAAAAAAUUUGGCCUGCCGGACUGACCUUUCCUGAAAAGGAACCGAACCCUUAGUGCGUUAAGCUGGUUAUAGGAUAUAAUUUCAUUUCGAAUAUGAAGAUCUCUCAAUUAUUUAUAUUUUUAUUACAAAAUAAACAUUGUUAAUUUAAUCAAUUUACAGAAAUUUCAACAAAAUUUGAAUCGUAAAAAUAGGUUAAUUCUAAAUUGAUUUUUGAUGUUUCGUAAAUGUCGGAAGAAAGCCCCUUAGGUACUACCUGGAUGACACCCGAAGCACCACCUGCGGUCAUUCCUACUACCUGACACGGGACCGUCAUUGAGGGUAUUUAACUUCUACCUAAUUUUUAUAACCCUUAACUGCCAGUAGGUCAGACAUUUUACUUCAACUUUAAACGCUUCUCGCAACCACUACAAUUUGUUUAAAUUUUUUUUGGAAAAUUUCCUUGGGUAGUCUAUUAAUGGAAGAAUCAUUUUCCGGGAUAGGCUCUCAAACAUUAGGGGAUCCGAAAAAAUGGGCCAUCCUAGUGUCCAUGUACAACUGCACAACUCUCCGUUUUUUCAUUAGUUUCAUCAGACUGUUGUCCUUGUAAUUGUCACGAAAAUUUGUUAAUGAAAUAGCAAUUAUAGGGAGGAUCACGGUGGUUUGCACUAUUUCCUUACCCUUCCGUUCUUUAAAGGUGGGUUGUAUUGAUGCGAAAGGGGUUUCAGUAAGAGACGAAGGAGAGGGGUUGGUAAAAGACCGGUAAGAUCAUACAAUCUGGCACCACCCAAUUUAAUUUAAUUUAAUACAUAGUCUCUCUGUUACUAAAGAAUGAAAAGGAAGUUGCCGUUAUAUUACAGGAUAAAUUUUUCUAAUGCUAGGUAUAAGUAUAUACUAUUGUACCCUUUUUUAUAUAAAAACGAAAACUUCGUUCGAUUAUUCAAAGGUGUUUCACAACUUAUAAUAAUUCCGUUUAUUUUAUCCGUCUUGACGAUUUGUAUUUUAUUAGUUUUAGUCCUUAUAAGGCAAAUGAUCUUCACAAGAAACAAUUAACACUGAGUAGCCAAUUUUUGAAUUGUCUUUAGAUCUCUCAACAGCAUUUGUAUUGUUUCUUUAUCACGUACUGGCACAUCAGCAGAUGGUACUUCAUAGUUAGCUUCCAUUGCUUCCAAAGCAUCAACUUGUGCCUCUACUUCCAUCAAUUUCGCGUCCAGAUGAUUCUGAAAAUGCUCAAUAUGCUCCAGCAGCCUGAGUCUGCAUUCAUAAGAAUCGAUGGGCGCUUCAGGCUCUGGUAUAACUGGAUGGGCCUGUUUGGCAGCCUCAAAAGACAUAUCAGGUUUUACCUCCUCCUUCACUUCGCAUCUGGUCAAGGCAUCCAACAAAAUAUGUCCCUCAGUCUUUCCCUCCUCCGUUUUACAUCCUUUCGCAUCGUUUCCUUGAUUACCUAUCAUAGAAUUAUUGUCCUCCUCAAGAAUCUUCAUAAGUUCCGAAUCGGAAGCUAUUGAUUGUCCUUCAUUCUCAUCCUUCCCAGCUUUAUCAUCAAUCGUAUCUUCAUUUUUCACUUUAGGUUCAACAAAAACGUCCUCAACCACGGUUUUAGGAACGAUAACUUCCAUAAUCGGGACAGGAUUCAAAUUAACAUCUGCAAUCUCUGAUUUCUCCCAAUUGUUCGCCCACAAGUAGAGCUUAGGAUGAUCCUUCUUCUGCGCUACAUUUAUUUUAACCCUUAGACUAUGUAGGGUCUCCUGGAUGUAGAUUAGCGCCCCAACCAGGUCCCAAGACCUCUUCAGCAUCGAUCUCCCUUUGUUUAUUAGCUCGACAUCCCUCGUUCUAUUCUCCAGAAUCUCCAAUUUUCCUUCUUUUAUCCAGUCCUGAUCGUGGCUGUACUUCAUAGAGGACCUCCCUCUCCAAGGAUUCCUGCAGAUAUAGCAUACGUACUUUUCGGGAACAUCUCGCUCUCGCUCGAUAGCACUGCAGUGGCCAUGCUGCCAGCACAGGCAUAAUUCACACUGUACCAUCAAACCGUCCUCCUCAGUUAUUCCACACGUACAAUUUAUUAUCUCUUCUCUCUCAAGUUGUUCGACUUUCACUAAUUCACCAUUCACUUCUAUCAUCUCACCUUCACCGUUACUCUGACUAUUCUCGUCACUUUUUGGAUCGGAUUUCCUCCGACUGUAUCUGUAAACGAGUCCAGCAGGCCCUUCAGCAUCCAGAGCGCUGUCAUCGAGAUCCGCAUACUCGUCGGUGAGCUCUUGCAUCCCCUUGGAUUUCCUGCUUCUCGUAGGAACGUCAGAACUGUAUUCUGAUAAUUGUCGUUUCCUCUGGCCCUUCAAUUUAUCGAAAUUAUUUGAUUCGUCCAGGGAUUUUGAUCGAUCGGUUCGCUGUGGGUCAGUUCCACUUGGCCUCACAGGGAGCAGAGUUUUGAUACCCACUUGAGUUUUUUCCUCUCGAAUUUUCAUGUUGAAGAGAGCACCUGGGGACAUAGCUCCCAUUUCCGUCUUCUGGACGACAUCAUCAGUGGCAUCCAUCUCGAAAUUUGACAUUGGUGACAUCACGUCGAGCUUUGAAUCCUCACGGGGUGUGUUUCCAUCGAUACUCACGGAGUCUUGAACUGGAACAGCCAGUGGGGACAUUGAGGAGAUCGGGUGAGUGGGCCUUUCCGGCAGGGAUCUGCGUUUAUCAAUGGUUUUCUUAGGCGGCAUGUCCUGGAUGGACUCCCCAAUGGUCCGGGCGUACGCUAGAUCCGCUACGUUAGGAGUGGAACCCACGUAUUGAGAGUAUUCUUUGUGAUAGUGCUUUAUAUGCAUCUGGAGGAGAUUCUCCUUGCGGAAGGUCUUCGCGCAACCUUCGAUAGGACACUUGAACGCACCGUCUUCCAUCUCCACCCGGAGGCCUCCCACGAACACCG